GACAGAGGGUGCAAACGUUUGUUCGGGAAUUACUGGGCGUAAAGCGUGUGUAGGCGGUUUGCUAAGUCGGGUGUGAAAGGCCCCGGGCUCAACCCGGGAAGUGCACUCGAAACUGGCAGGCUAGAGUACUGGAGAGGUUGGUGGAAUUCUCGGUGUAGAGGUGAAAUUCGUAGAUAUCGAGAGGAACACCGGUGGCGAAGGCGGCCAACUGGACAGAUACUGACGCUGAGACACGAAAGCGUGGGGAGCAAACAGG
rnacentral:rRNA from 1 species